CCUACGGGGUGCACCAGUGGGGAAUUUUCCGCAAUGGACGAAAGUCUGAUGAAGCAAUGCCGCGUGAAUGAUGAAGGUCUUCGGAUUGUAAAGUUCUGUUGUAAGGGAAGAAUCGAUGGAAGAGGAAAUGCUUUCAUCUUGACGGUACCUUACCAGAAAGCCACGGCUAACUAUGUGCCAGCAGCCGCGGUAAUACAUAGGUGGCAAGCGUUAUCCGGAUUUAUUGGGCGUACAGGGUGCGUAGGCGGUUGUGUAAGCUUAAGGUUAAAUCCCAGAGCUCAACUCUGGUUCGCCUUAAAAACUACGCGACUAGAAUGUGACAGAGGUAAACGGAAUUCCAUGUGUAGCGGUGAAAUGCGUAGAUAUAUGGAAGAACACCUGUGGCGAAAGCGGUUUACUGGGUCAUUAUUGACGCUGAUGCACGAAAGCGUGGGGAGCAAAUAGGAUUAGAUACCCUGGUAGUC
rnacentral:rRNA from 1 species